ACGCACGCUGGCGGCAUGCCUCACACCUGCAAGUCGAACGCGACCUUCGGGUCUAGUGGCGCACGGGUGCGUAACGCGUGGGAACCUGCCUUUAGGUUCGGAAUAACUCAGAGAAAUUUGAGCUAAUACCGGAUGAUGUCUUCGGACCAAAGAUUUAUCGCCUUUAGAUGGGCCCGCGUUGGAUUAGCUAGUUGGUGGGGUAAAGGCCUACCAAGGCGACGAUCCAUAGCUGGUCUGAGAGGAUGAUCAGCCACACUGGGACUGAGACACGGCCCAGACUCCUACGGGAGGCAGCAGUGGGGAAUAUUGGACAAUGGGCGAAAGCCUGAUCCAGCAAUGCCGCGUGAGUGAUGAAGGCCUUAGGGUUGUAAAGCUCUUUUACCCGAGAUGAUAAUGACAGUAGCGGGAGAAUAAGCUCCGGCUAACUCCGUG
rnacentral:rRNA from 1 species